CAUCCUGCGCCGUCAAUUGCAACACCGAUUUUCUCUCCGUUGGUUGACGUUUUAGAAGCUUAAAGGUGGCGGUUGGCGAUUAGUCAUGAGCGUCGGCGAGUUAAUUGCGUGGUCCUCGUAAGGUUCGUUACGUUGUUGGUUAUCAGUCGCCGGCGAUGUUGAGUCCGUAGUCAAUGCCAGAGCGAGGAGGGUCGCGGCCGGGCAAGAGGGCUGUAGGUGCGGCGUUGGCGUCAGAACCAGUUUGAGUAUGAAUUUGAGUCAUGCCCUGCUACCAUGGCUAAUGGAGAAGUGUGUUGAUACCAAAAGUAUGUGUAAAUUUGGUAAGUGGAGGAGAUGUCAUCUACGGUGUUGCCCACCAGCACAUAGGAGGGAUUGGUUCAGCUCUUUAUGGGGAGAGGCUGAGCCACAUUGGAGUCAUGGGGAUGUUUUACAUGUUAGUCGCCGAACCUUUGCAAGAAUCUAUUCUCUCACGCAUGCUCAACUUGAGAUAGGUGCAGCAGUGAGCCAAUGAAUCCAACAGAUGAUGUUUGAGCUUUAUUUGCGUCACAUGGGGAAUUGUAGUGUUUGUUGCUGUCGUAGUUGUGAUUAUUGUUAAAUAAAUGUUGUGCAGGAAGCUAAGUACGUGACAGCGACUAUGAAUCAAAUUUAAGUCGUGUUUAUGCGUGUACUAUGUCAAAUAUUGUGGAUUGUGCAGUUAAAUAAAUAUUAUGUGAAAUAAAUAAAAGUGAAUUUUAUUUUA